rnacentral:rRNA from 1 species
GACGAACGCUGGCGGCGUGCUUAACACAUGCAAGUCGAACGAGGUCCAUCCAGUCGCAAGACUGGUGAAGACCGAGUGGCGAACGGGUGCGUAACACGUGAGAAACCUGUCCCGGUCUCUGGAAUAACAGUCGGAAACGACUGCUAAUACCGGAUGCCGUCGGAGCGUCGCAUGGCGCGCUGACGAAAUGGCUACCGGAUCUGGAGGGUCUCGCGGCCUAUCAGCUUGUUGGUGAGGUAACGGCUCACCAAGGCAUCGACGGGUAGCUGGUCUGAGAGGAUGAUCAGCCACACUGGGACUGAGACACGGCCCAGACUCCUACGGGAGGCAGCAGUGGGGAAUCUUGCACAAUGGGCGAAAGCCUGAUGCAGCAACGCCGCGUGCGGGAUGAAGGCCCUAGGGUUGUAAACCGCUUUCAGCAGGGAAGAAAAUGACGGUACCUGUAGAAGAAGGUGCGGCCAACUACGUGCCAGCAGCCGCGGUGAUACGUAGGCACCAAGCGUUGUCCGGAUUUAUUGGGCGUAAAGAGCUCGUAGGCGGUUCGGUAAGUCGGGUGUGAAAACUCUGGGCUCAACCCAGAGAGGCCACCCGGUACUGCCGUGACUGGAGUGCGGUAGGGGAGUGGGGAAUUCCUGGUGUAGCGGUGAAAUGCGCAGAUAUCAGGAGGAACACCAGUGGCGAAGGCGCCACUCAGGGCCGUAACUGACGCUGAGGAGCGAAAGCGUGGGUAGCAAACAGGAUUAGAUACCCUGGUAGUCCACGCCGUAAACGUUGGGCACUAGGUGUG